UGUGCCUGGCUUUUGUUGUUCUUCUGCUUCUAAUCAUGAUCGCCUCCUCAUUCCUCGGAAAAUUGCAAGCUCAACAUGGUCGGCUUCCACCAGGUCCUAUGCCUCUCCCAGUUUUAGGAUCACUUCUUUCUCUCAGGAAUCCACUGCAUCGUCACUUUGCAAGCCUCACAAAGAUCUAUGGACCCAUAAUCCACAUCAAGCUCGGGCUUGUGUCUUGCAUAGUUGUGAACAGCUCUGACAUGGCCAGGGAGGUCCUGAGAGCUCAUGAUGUGGAGUUUGCUUACAGGCCUCUUUCAAAAUUUGGAGAGUACUUCAGCUUCAGAUGGAAAGAUGUUGUGCUUGCUCCUUACGGAGAGUCCUGGAAGAACAUGAAGAUGAUCACGGCUCAACACUUGCUGAGUCCCAGCAGGCUGGAUGCUGCUGCUGCUUACCAAGAAUCUGAAAUGGCGCUCGUGGUCAAAGAUGUUGGACGUCUUGCCACCGCCUCCAAAGUCAUCAAUCUCAAACAUUUCAUUGAUAAGUUUGUCUCUGGUGCGUUUUGCCAAGUUCAUACGGCCACUUGAUUGUCUUGAUCUCCAUGGAGUGAACCGGAGAAUGAGGGAUGAUCUGAUGCCAAAGUUGGAGUCUCUUCUUGCUGAUAUUAUCCAAGAACACAAACAGUACAAACUCGACAUUGAAUCCUCGGGCCAGGAAUUCAUUCCCAAGGACUGGACGGUGCUUCUGUCUCUCCAAGACGCUGCUGAUAAUAAUCUCUCAGAUAUAUCAAUUAUGGCCCUCCUCACUGUAAGUAUCCGCAAAGUUCUUCAUGGCUAUGUCGGAUGUUUGUUUCAGGAUCUGGUUGCAGCGGGAAUUGACAACAUGAAGGGAGCUGUAGAGUGGGCGAUGGCAGAAGUGAUUCAGAACCCCCCUGUCAUGCAAAAAGCGCAGGAAGAAAUCCAAGACGCAAUCGGGACCGAGCGCCUCCUAAGGCCUUCAGAUGUCCCCGGCUUGCCUUACAUGCACGCAAUCCUGAAAGAGGUGUUGCGACUUCAUCCAACAGGCCCACUUGGAGUCCCUCAUUUUAAUCCCACGGAAGCUGUUCUAGCUGGCUACAGGAUUCCGAAAGGGUCCACCGUGCUCAUCAACAUCUGGGCAAUUGGACGAGAUCCAAAACACUGGCUUGACCCAGAAGACUUCCGUCCUGAACGCUUUCAAGGAACCGAGAUCAAGGUGGUCGGACAAGAAGCGCAGCUGGAGAUGAUCCCAUUCUCUGCUGGACGCAGGAUGUGCCCGGGGCAUCCAGUUGCCGUUCGUUUCAUCCCCUUUGCAGUUGCCAGCCUGAUUCAUGCCUUUGAUUGGAGCCUUCCACCGGAUCAAAACUCGGUCGACCUGAUGGAGAAGGGUGGUACAAUCGCAAGCAAGCUGGCUUCAGAGCUAACAGCUGUUGCAAGUCCCCGGUUGAGCUGCAAAUCUCUGUAUGAACGAGGAAUUCAACUGCCCCAAUCUUUGACUUUGAUUGCGAAUGCCAAUCGUUUUCCGGAGCCACUGGCACCAAUAUUCCUUUGGUUCUGGGAUUUGAACCAAUCUAAUCUAUGGUACCUUCCUGGUGGAAGCCGAUCGUGUUUAGCUUGCGAUUUUCCGAAGAAUGAGGCGGCGAUAAUUAGAAGCAGAAGAACAAGAACAGCCAGCCACAUUUUUGGAAUUAAUCCAAUGGAAGAUGUGAAAAACCCAAGUUCAACAUCCUUGCAGGAGGAUACGACGUAUGGCUACACCAGUUUCCUGGGCCAUACGACCACACGUUCCACGAAGGUCAUGAUCAAGUUGGCCGAUUAACUACAACCACUGUUCUCGUAUAUGCGCAGAGCCAGAUGUCGAACGAUCGGCCCUCUCACGCUUACGACCACAUGCGAAGUCCACAAUAUGAUCCGGUCAGUGAUCCCAAUCCAAGGAGCAAUGGCAUGCACCAUGACCUGAGACUACUUGAAAAUAAUGAGGAAGAAGAUAUCGUUCCUGAGCGUUGUUCUACAGAUUAGUCUCGCUAAAAUUUCCAAGCUCUUUUCCUUGCCACCUUUAACAUUUGGAAUCUCUCGCAUUAACUUGUCUAACAUCAAUUCUCUCUAUGUGGAGCUACUUUUCAAUGGCAACAAUUCACAACACGGGUUGAUGAAAUAACUGGACGAUUGAGCUCUUCAAGAACUGAGGUUAGUCUUCGACAGGAUCAAGCUCCACCCAGGCCAUUCAUGCCAAUGGAUGAUUUCAGUGGUUUUGCGGGCCAGCCAGUGACAUGUGGAAAGAGUUUGCACCAUGCACGCCAGCUAGCUCGCGGAUUUGCAGCUCGUAUAGGAGGACUGGAACCUGCUAGUUUUCUAGUUAAAUGACAUACUCUGUUUUCCCCUAACUACCACUUUGUCAUUUUCUCCAUGUACAUAUAUACAAGUCUUGUGUCCGCUCAUUUCAGCGUCCACAUGAAUCUCUUGCCACCUUGGAUUAGACUCCAG